rnacentral:lncRNA from 1 species
CCAGUGAUCCUUAAUCAGGAAGCUCAACUUAUUGAUAUUCUAAAAGUAUAUAAAGAAGUUGUUGGAUGAGAUAUCUCUGAAAUGAGGGAUAACGAUAUUGAGAUGUUUAUGACUGGUUUUUUGAUAUUUGGCACUACUUUCAAGAACCGCCUUCAAAACUUAUCUACCAUACUAAAAUGAUGUAUGGAGAUAGAGUUAAUGUUAAUUUGAAAAAAGUGCUAGGCUUU